rnacentral:rRNA from 1 species
UACGUAGGGUGCAAGCGUUAAUCGGAAUUACUGGGCGUAAAGCGUGCGCAGGCGGUUUUGUAAGUCAGAUGUGAAAUCCCCGGGCUUAACCUGGGAACUGCGUUUGAAACUACAAGGCUAGAGUGUGACAGAGGGGGGUGGAAUUCCACGUGUAGCAGUGAAAUGCGUAGAGAUGUGGAGGAACACCGAUGGCGAAGGCAGCCCCCUGGGUCAAGAUUGACGCUCAUGCACGAAGCGUGGGGAGCAAA